rnacentral:lncRNA from 1 species
UGUCUUGAAAAGAAGUGCCUGCACUUGAGAUUUCUUAUAUUCUCCUCCAAAGACAUCAGUUGGAGAAGGUCCAAAGCCAUAUGUUCGAAUGCCACCAGGUCGCUCAGGGCCCAAAACUUGCGAGAAGAUCUCUUCAACUAUAGACGUGGAUUCGGUAGAACCCUCCUCUUGUGUCGAGAGCUCUUCAUUUGUGUCUGCCAUCAUAAAUCUCAUAAUCAGUUUUCUUUUUCAUUUUUUUCAAAGGGCAAUUGGUUACAUUAAAGCAUGAAUUACCAAAAAAGUGUACAAUUCAAUGACCAAACCAAUUCAGCUCCAAUUAUACCAUAUAAACAAAUCUAAUCAACAUCCAAA